GAUGAACGUUGGCGGUGUGCCUAAUACAUGCAAGUCGAACGAUUAAAGCCCCUUCGGGGGUGUAUAGAGUGGCGAACGGGUGAGUAACACGUGGGCAACCUGCCCUGCGCUUCGGGAUAACUCAGGGAAACCUGAGCUAAUACCGGAUACUCCGCGAGGAUCGCAUGGUCCUUUCGGGAAAGUUCCGGCGGCGCAGGAUGGGCCCGCGGCCCAUUAGCUUGUUGGUGAGGUAACGGCUCACCAAGGCAACGAUGGGUAGCCGAGCUGAGAGGCUGAUCGGCCACACUGGGACUGAGACACGGCCCAGACUCCUACGGGUGGCUG
rnacentral:rRNA from 1 species